UACGGGGGGGGCAAGCGUUGUUCGGAAUUACUGGGCGUAAAGGGCUCGUAGGCGGCCAACUAAGUCCGACGUGAAAUCCCCAGGCUUAACCUGGGAACUGCGUCGGAUACUGGAUGGCUUGAAUCCGGGAGAGGGAUGCGGAAUUCCAGGUGUAGCGGUGAAAUGCGUAGAUAUCUGGAGGAACACCGGUGGCGAAGGCAGCCCCCUGGGCUGACACUGACGCUCAGGCACGAAAGCGUGGGGAGCAAACAGG
rnacentral:rRNA from 1 species